GGGAGUUGAAAACGAGAUGUGUGAAAAAAUGGCCAUUAUUUCAAGGCAAAGAAAUCUGACUUUUUGCAUGAAGGAAAGAAAUCAGGUGGUAUAAUAUAAUUUGUCGCCGAAUGAUGGGUUGUUAAUGGGUGCGAGUCAUUGUAACACUGAUAAGGGGGUGGACAUAAUUAUGUGAACUAUGGAAUGAGAGCACUAGAAAUGAGAAUUUGAUGGAUGAAAGCUUGAGACAGGGUGUUUUUAAUCGUGAGAAAAGUGUUGUUAAAACAGGGAUAAUGCAUGUUGAUGAAAAAAUAGGAGUGCAGAGGAACAGAAUAUGGAGUGAAGUAGGAUUUCAGGGAGGGAACUGGAAAUCAAUUCCCCUGUCCACCAAAUAAUUGAAAGUCAUUAAAGAAAUAAGGGAGCGGGGGUCUGACAUGUAUGUAUACGUAAAAGGAUCAAUUAUGCAGGGAAUGCAGACCACAGAUUGGACUUAUUUGACAACUGAUAAAUAGAAAGACGAAUGUAAUAGUGCUA
rnacentral:lncRNA from 1 species